CGGAUUGCAGUCUGCAACUCGAGUGCAUGAAGCUGGAAUCGCUAGUAAUCGCGAAUCAGAAUGUCGCGGUGAAUACGUUCCCGGGUCUUGUACACACCGCCCGUCACACCAUGGGAGUCGGGAAUGCCCGAAGCCGGUGACCCAACCUUAAGGAGGGAGCCGUCGAAGGCAGGCCUGGUAACUGGGGUGAAGUCGUAACAAGGUAUC
rnacentral:rRNA from 1 species